AAAAAAAAAAAAAAAGGAGAAAUAUCUGCCAAUUAUUCCAUUGAAGAAUAAUAAAAGUGAUUUCCAAAAUAACUCGCAUCAUGCUGUGCAUAUCUUAAAAUGCAUGGCCUUAUAUGUUAUUGAUCCAAGUUCCUUCAUAUAUCUCGAAUGAUCAAUAGUUCAAGAACAGGAGGCAACCACCCUUAAAAAGCCAUAUGUGUUUUUGAACAUCAAUGAAGCAUGUUGACUCAAAAUAAACUUUCUACUUAACUAUUUUUGCAUUGAAAAUAAUUGAGCUUUGAUAUUUAGUGAUAGAACAAUAAUCAUUACUCAACCACUUACCAACAAAUUUCAGAGGCAGAAGUAAAGAUUCGAGACUACCAACAAGUUUAUAAAUAUACAAUUAGGUGUAAUUCAAGUUUCUUAACCUUGAAGAAAAUGAGAAUAGAAAAUAAAACCAACACUUUGAAUGUCUAAUGUACUUCUAGCAAAAUCUAAUUAGUCAAUUAUUUAUAAAAUGUUAUUUGCCUUCCCUUUCUCACAAUCUCCACUUCGUCAUUCUAAAUUGCAUCUUUCAUUCAUAUGUUCGCAACAACUAUCAUUAUUCAUUUUUAAAUUUCACAGAAACAAAAGGGUAUUCCAAAAAAGUGGACCUAGAAAAAACAAUGAAACUAAAGAAGA
rnacentral:misc_RNA from 1 species